rnacentral:lncRNA from 1 species
GAUUGCGCUUCCCGAGGUCGUUCUCAUUUUUCGAGGUAUGACACUAACCAAUUAAACAAAUAAUCAAUCAACUAAUUGAAUUGAAAAAAUAAGAAUAAUAAAAGAAAAUGGAACCAUAAUUAACAUAGUUAAUAAGGAGGAGGGGUGCAAACAUAAAGAGAAUAAUAUGGCAAUAGUAAAUCAAGAGACAAAGGGCCCAAGUCCCAAAACAAGAACUAAACCUAAAUCUAUUGUUAAUAACAAUAAUUAAAAAAGGAAAGAAAAUAGAAAAAAUAGAGAGGAUGAAGGCGGCUUCCAUGCUGUAACACCUCCAUUUUCUUUUUGAAAAAAACAACAUGGCCUAUGGUGUAAUGGCACGUGGAUCUUGUUUAAUAAUUAAAAACUAAGACAAAGUUCUUCUCCCUACGUUUGAAAAGUGGCAGACAAAAGAAAAGUUGCUUCUAUAAAUCUCGUGCCCUCUCUCUUUCUUUCUCUUUGCACCCCUAAAACACAAACUAAUUUCUUUUAACAAAAUAAUGAAAUCAAAGCAAACACCAAUAUUGGAUUUAGAAACUUGUGAAGAAACAAGGAAACUCAUAGCAACAAUCUAACAAAACAAUGAAAAAAUAUGCAAAGGGGUACCAAAAAAAGGCGAGCGGUAUCAGUCAGUGUGCGGUCCAGAGUUGUUUAUGAGAGGUUGAUGUUAUUUCUUGUUUUAGUUGAGAAGUUUAUUGAUGGUAUAGGUAGUGGUCUAAAAAUGGUGUACAUGGUGGCAAAACGGUUUGUGAAAAUGAAGAAAAAUAUGGGGUUGUGUUGUUGUUUUGUGUGAGAUGAGUGAAGAUGAUAUGGUGUUAACAAGGUUACUGUUAGAGAAAAUGAAAAUUAAAAAUAUGUGUUUGAGUGGGAGUUUAUAGUUGUUGUAUGAUUAUGGUUUAUGUGUAUUAUGGAGUUAUAUGGUGUGGAAGUUGUAUAGAGCUUGUGGUUUUCAUGUUGGAUGCAGAAGAAAGAAGGAGAUGAAGGUGUGAGUUGAAGUUUGCAGAUCGUGUGGUAAGGUUUGUUGGAAGUUUUACGAUUAGUAUAGUGGUUACUAGUUGUAGUAUGGUGAAGUAUGCAGCCGUGAAAAUUGUUGCAGAAGGUGGUUAUGGUGUUAUGCUAUUAUCAUGAAGAAGGAAUAAGAUGGAAAAUAAAAUAUGAGGUUAUGUUCUCAAUGUGAAUGAAAGAGGGAGUGUUU